rnacentral:rRNA from 1 species
CAUUCACGGAGAGUUUGAUCCUGGCUCAGGACGAACGCUGGCGGCGUGCUUAACACAUGCAAGUCGAACGAUGAACCACUUCGGUGGGGAUUAGUGGCGAACGGGUGAGUAACACGUGGGCAAUCUGCCCUGCACUCUGGGACAAGCCCUGGAAACGGGGUCUAAUACCGGAUACAACCACUGACCGCAUGGUCGGGUGGUGGAAAGCUCCGGCGGUGCAGGAUGAGCCCGCGGCCUAUCAGCUUGUUGGUGAGGUAACGGCUCACCAAGGCGACGACGGGUAGCCGGCCUGAGAGGGCGACCGGCCACACUGGGACUGAGACACGGCCCAGACUCCUACGGGAGGCAGCAGUGGGGAAUAUUGCACAAUGGGCGAAAGCCUGAUGCAGCGACGCCGCGUGAGGGAUGACGGCCUUCGGGUUGUAAACCUCUUUCAGCAGGGAAGAAGCGAGAGUGACGGUACCUGCAGAAGAAGCGCCGGCUAACUACGUGCCAGCAGCCGCGGUAAUACGUAGGGCGCAAGCGUUGUCCGG